ACGUAGAUUUGAUUAUAUAUCAGAGCUUGAUAAAUACUUGAGAGAGGAUCCUGAACCUUAUAUGAAGUCAGUUGAGCUUGAUAUUUUACAUUGGUGGAAAGUCAACUCGACUAGAUUUCCUAUCCUUGCGAACAUGGCUCGAGAGGUGUUAGCCAUUCCUAUCUCUACCGUAGCAUCAGAGUGUGCAUUUAGUACAGGAGGAAGAGUGGUUAGUCCUUAUCGUAGUUGCCUAACGCCUAAAAUAGUGGAAGUGCUUGUUUGCACACAAGAUUGGUUAAAAGGAACACCUUUCUCUAUACUUUUUGAUGAGGAUCCUAAAGAACAUGAUAAAUUUGAGCAAGAGAUAACCUCUCAAGAUGAAGUGGGACCUUCAAGUGUUGUUAUUAAUUUGGAUGAUUGAAGUUUUGCCACAAUUUGUUAGUUAUCUAAAGUACAUGAUGAUUCAUACAUUGAAAGCUACAUAAGCACCAUCAGAGUUGAUUUUG